CUUACAUUUUCUAAAUCUUACAAAUUUAUUAUGAAAUUGCCUUGGAUUUACAUUUCUGUUAAGGCUGUUUCAUAGAUUUAUUUGUAUUUGGACCACAGAGGGAUCUUGCAUGUGCAUGAAACUGUUGUAUUUUAGAGGGCCUUUACUCUUGAGAAAAGCAUUAAUUUUUUGGAAAGGAGGCUUUGAAUCUAGGUGCUGAGGAGUGGACCCAUUGCUGUGGUUAUGAGAGGCAUGCCUUCACCUACCUCAUGCAUGCUAGGCAAGGGCUCUACCUCUGAGCCACAACCCCAGCCCUAAUGGUUAUCUUUUAAUGCCAGAACAGCAGUGUCUACCUAAUAAAUGUUAGUCUUUGUAGAAGUUAGCUUAAGUUUACAUUGUCUUGUUCUGUAAUCAUGUGAAAGAUCUGAUUUAUUUUAAAAUGUAAUUCAGGAUAAUCAUUUUUUGCAAAAUUUGCCCUAAACUCAGUAGGGUUUUGUAACUGCC
rnacentral:lncRNA from 1 species